rfam:Triticum aestivum genome assembly, contig: Triticum_aestivum_CS42_TGACv1_scaffold_194384_3AL
UGCUGCUGACCCUUUCCAUUACUAAAGCACCGGAUCCCAUCAGAACUCUGAAGUUAAGCGUGCUUGGGCGAGAGUAGUACUAGGAUGGGUGACCUCCUGGGAAGUCCUCGUGUUGCAUUCC